GAUGAACGCUGGCUACAGGCUUAACACAUGCAAGUCGAGGGGAAACGACGGGGAAGCUUGCUUCCCCGGGCGUCGACCGGCGCACGGGUGAGUAACGCGUAUCCAACCUGCCUCUGACUGAGGGAUAACCCGUCGAAAGUCGGCCUAAUACCUCAUGGCAUCGUCUGCGGGCAUCCAACGACGAUUAAAGAUUUCAUCGGUCAGGGAUGGGGAUGCGUCUGAUUAGCUAGUUGGCGGGGUAACGGCCCACCAAGGCGACGAUCAGUAGGGGUUCUGAGAGGAAGGUCCCCCACAUUGGAACUGAGACACGGUCCAAACUCCUACGGGAGGCAGCAGUGAGGAAUAUUGGUCAAUGGGCGAGAGCCUGAACCAGCCAAGUAGCGUGCAGGAUGACGGCCCUAUGGGUUGUAAACUGCUUUUAUGUGGGGAUAAAGUGAGGGACGUGUCCUUCAUUGCAGGUACCGCAUGAAUAAGGACCGGCUAAUUCCGUG
rnacentral:rRNA from 1 species